AGUGAACGCUUUCUUUCUUCCUCCCUCCUUCCCUUCGAACUUCAGCACAGUAAGAGCUUUCUCUUACGGUUGGCGAGUGGCGGACGGGUGAGGAAUACAUCUUAAUCUACUUUUUCGUGGGGGAUAACGUAGGGAAACUUACGCUAAUACCGCAUACGACCUACGGGUGAAAGCAGGGGAUCUUCGGACCUUGCGCGAUUGAAUGAGCCGAUGUCGGAUUAGCUAGUUGGCGGGGUAAAGGCACACCAAGGCGACGAUCCGUAGCUGGUCUGAGAGGAUGAGAAGCCACACUGGAACUGAGACACGGUCCAGACUCCUACGGGAGGCAGCAGUGGGGAAUAUUGGACAAUGGGCGCAAGCCUGAUCCAGCCAUACCGCGUGGGUGAAGAAGGCCUUCGGGUUGUAAAGAAAUUGUGUUGGGAAAGAAAAGCAGCAGGUUAAUACCCCGCUGUUCUGACGGUACCCAAAGAAUAAGCAAAGGAGAACUUCGGG
rnacentral:rRNA from 1 species